rnacentral:rRNA from 1 species
CCUACGGGAGGCUGCAGUAGGGAAUAUUGCUCAAUGGGGGAAACCCUGAAGCAGCAACGCCGCGUGGGUGAUGGAGGUUUUCUGAUUGUAAACUCCUUUCGUCAGGGAAGAUAAUGACGGUAUCUAAACCAUACACCCCGGCUUACUUAGUUCCAACCGCCGCGGUAAUUCGGAGGGUGCCAGGGUUACUCGGAGUUACUGGGGGGAUAGAGAGCGUAGAAGGGCGGGUAAGUCUGAAGGGAAAGCCUAUGGCGUAACCAUUGAACGGCAUUUGAAACUGUUAGUCGUGAGUAUGGGAGUGGUAGGUGGAAUUCCUGGUGUAGGGGUAAAAUCCGGAGAUAUCAAGAGGAAUACU